rnacentral:rRNA from 1 species
CGCCUCUUGAAUUAAUAUAAGAGGUCCAGCCUGCCCAGUGACCCUGUUCAACGGCCGCGGUAUCCUAACCGUGCGAAGGUAGCGUAAUCACUUGUUCUUUAAAUGAGGACUAGUAUGAACGGCAUCACGAAGGUUAUACUGUCUCCUUUUUCUAAUCAGUGAACCUAAUCUCCCCGUGAAGAAGCGGGAAUAUAACUAUAAGACGAGAAGACCCUAUGGAGCUUAAAACAACACAGCACUUACUAAAAAACUAAGCAUUCCCGAAUUUUUACUUUCUAGGCAACAUGACUGUAAGUUUUUGGUUGGGGUGACCACGGAGUACAAUAUAACCUCCAUGUUGAAAGAAUUUUUUUCUAAGCCGAAAAUUACACUUUUAAGCAUCAAUAAGUUGACAUCUAUUGACCCAAUAUAUUUGAACAACGAACCAAGUUACCCUAGGGAUAACAGCGCAAUCCACUUCAAGAGCUCCUAUCGACAAGUGGGUUUACGACCUCGAUGUUGGAUCAGGGUUUCCCAGUGGUGCAGCCGCUACUAAAGGUUCGUUUGUUCAACGAUUAAAACCCU